AUGCUCGCUUUGGCAGCACAUAUACUAAAAUUGGAGCAAUACAGAGAAGAUAAGCUAUGGCCCCUGCACAAGGAUGAAACGCAAAUUCGUGAAGUGUUCCAUAUUUUU
ensembl:snRNA U6 U6 spliceosomal RNA